AACGUAGGUUCCGAGCGUUAUCCGGAUUUACUGGGCGUAAAGCGCGUGCAGGCGGUUUGGCAAGUCGGGCGUGAAAUCCUUCGGCUCAACCGGGGGAGGUUGUCCGAUACUGCUGAACUGGAGGGCAGUAGAGGGUGGUGGAAUUCCGGGUGUAGUGGUGAAAUGCGUAGAGAUCCGGAGGAACACCAGUGGCGAAAGCGGCCACCUGGACUGCACCUGACGCUGAAACGCGAAAGCUAGGGGAGCGAACGGG
rnacentral:rRNA from 1 species